GCAAAGUCCCCUUGAUGUCCACACUGUACAGCCAGUAGAGCCCGUGGAUCCCGUGCCUCGCUAUCGAGUUGUCCCUCCCGAUCAAUCCGGUCGAGAACACCGGGUUCGACUUCGGGUUAUUUACCCGGACCUGUCGAGACAAUGUACCUGUAACUCGGAGAGUGUGGCAGAUGCGAGCGCUAUCCGGAGCUUGUAAACGCCAUUUUUGUCCACGUUCGCAAGGGCGAACUUGAUCUGCCAUGUGGUGCCCAGAUAGGUUUUAUCAUCCUUCUUCCUGGAAAAAGGAAAAAACAGAAUCUUGAAAAAUUGAUUGAGAAUGUGCAGGCUGCAGAAUUGUUUUGAAAGUGCAACAUGAUGUUCUUAAUAAGCUCUAGGAGUCUGGUAAAUGCACCAAUUUUAUUGGAAGAGGAUGUGUUACCUAGUAACCUGAGCAAAGAACCAAUCCUUGGAGUAGUCGCUAGUGCCGACAGUGUAAACCAAAUCUCCGUCGGGAUACAACUCGGCAUAUCUUUCCCAGAGUCCAUAUUGCCUGAACCUGUUAGUGAAAUUACUUUAAAUCAUGUCAUAAUUUAAUCGAAACCUCUGUCAUCUUAUCAGGCAUUCGCCUGAUUUAUCGAGAAAGCCAUGCACAAAUCAUGCAGAAACCGGAGAAAAAGCUCGCCGUGUGAAGUAAAUGAUUUGUGCAUGGAUCCAAUCUCAUUGGGUUAAUUAGCAUUCACAGUUCAUUUACAAA